rnacentral:rRNA from 1 species
GUGAACCUGCGGAGGGAUCAUUACCGAGUUUACAACUCCCAAACCCCUGUGAACAUACCAAUUGUUGCCUCGGCGGAUCAGCCCGCUCCCGGUAAAACGGGACGGCCCGCCAGAGGACCCACAAACUCUGUUUCUAUAUGUAACUUCUGAGUAAAACCAUAAAUAAAUCAAAACUUUCAACAACGGAUCUCUUGGUUCUGGCAUCGAUGAAGAACGCAGCAAAAUGCGAUAAGUAAUGUGAAUUGCAGAAUUCAGUGAAUCAUCGAAUCUUUGAACGCACAUUGCGCCCGCCAGUAUUCUGGCGGGCAUGCCUGUUCGAGCGUCAUUUCAACCCUCAAGCCCAGCUUGGUGUUGGGACUCGCGAGUCAAAUCGCGUUCCCCAAAUUGAUUGGCGGUCACGUCGAGCUUCCAUAGCGUAGUAGUAAAACCCUCGUUACUGGUAAUCGUCGCGGCCACGCCGUUAAACCCCAACUUCUGAAUGUUGACCUCGGAUCAGGUAGGAAUACCCGCUGAACUUAAGCAUAUCAA